rnacentral:rRNA from 1 species
GUCCAGACUCCUACGGGAGGCAGCAGUGGGGAAUAUUGCACAAUGGGGGAAACCCUGAUGCAGCGACGCCGCGUGAGUGGAGAAGUAUUUCGGUAUGUAAAGCUCUAUCAGCAGGGAAGAAAAUGACGGUACCUGACUAAGAAGCCCCGGCUAACUACGUGCCAGCAGCCGCGGUAAUACGGAGGAUGCGAGCGUUAUCCGGAUUUAUUGGGUUUAAAGGGUGCGUAGGCGGUCCGGAAAGUCAGCGGUAAAAGCCGGGGGCUCAACCCCGGCGAGCCGUUGAAACUGUCGGACUAGAGACGGCGAGAAGUACGCGGAAUGCGCGGUGUAGCGGUGAAAUGCAUAGAUAUCGCGCAGAACUCCGAUUGCGAAGGCAGCAUGCCGGCUCCACACUGACGCUGAGGCACGAAAGCGUGGGUAUCGAACAGGAUUAGAUACCCCCGUA